CAGCACUCAGGAAUAUUGGUCAAUGGUCGGCAGACUGAACCAGCCAAGUCGCGUGAGGGAAGACGGCCCUACGGGUUGUAAACCUCUUUUGUCGGAGAGUAAAGUGCGCUACGCGUAGAUUAUGCAAGUAUCCGAAGAAAAAGCAUCGGCUAACUCCGUGCCAGCAGCCGCGGUAAUACGGAGGAUGCGAGCGUUAUCCGGAUUUAUUGGGUUUAAAGGGUGCGUAGGCGGCACGCCAAGUCAGCGGUGAAAUUUCCGGGCUCAACCCGGACUGUGCCGUUGAAACUGGCGAGCUAGAGUGCACAAGAGGCAGGCGGAAUGCGUGGUGUAGCGGUGAAAUGCAUAGAUAUCACGCAGAACCCCGAUUGCGAAGGCAGCCUGCUAGGGUGCGACAGACGCUGAGGCACGAAAGCGUGGGUAUCGAACAGGAUUAGAUACCCUGGUAGUCCACGCAGUAAACGAUGAAUACUAACUGUUUGCGAUACAAUGUAAGCGGUACAGCGAAAGCGUUAAGUAUUCCACCUGGGGAGUACGCCGGCAACGGUGAAACUCAAAGGAAUUGACGGGGGCCCGCACAAGCGGAGGAACAUGUGGUUUAAUUCGAUGAUACGCGAGGAACCUUACCCGGGCUCAAACGCAGGGGGAAUAUAUAUGAAAGUAUAUAGCUAGCAAUAGUCACCUGCGAGGUGCUGCAUGGUUGUCGUCAGCUCGUGCCGUGAGGUGUCGGCUUAAGUGCCAUAACGAGCGCAACCCCUAUGGACAGUUACUAACGGGUGAAGCCGAGGACUCUGUCUAGACUGCCGGCGCAAGCCGCGAGGAAGGUGGGGAUGACGUCAAAUCAGCACGGCCCUUACGUCCGGGGCGACACACGUGUUACAAUGGCAGGUACAGAAGGCAGCCAGUCAGCAAUGACGCGCGAAUCCCGAAAACCUGUCUCAGUUCGGAUUGGAGUCUGCAACCCGACUCCAUGAAGCUGGAUUCGCUAGUAAUCGCGCAUCAGCCAUGGCGCGGUGAAUACGUUCCCGGGCCUUGUACACACCGC
rnacentral:rRNA from 1 species